rnacentral:lncRNA from 1 species
CCCUGCCCUACAGUCCAAGGCAAGAGACAACGGAUGGAGCCAGCCAGGGGCAUACUAGUGUUGGACAACGGGACAGGCAGGGGCCGGAGGGUGAGAACUGGCAGCCGCUCCUAAAAGCACUCGCAGGAUUAACCAGACUACAACACGAAGCGUUUCCUAAAGGCAUUUCUCAAAGGAGAUUUGCCCCGGCUGGGUGUGUGGCAGGGGAGCGGUAGCAGAGUGCCGCAGCUCGAGAGGGGUGAGUCUGAGCUCUUUUCUGGGUUGGCUUGAGGCAUCGAGGCAACGGUGAGCGAGUCACGCUUGCCCUUUCAGGUCCCAGUGUCGUUCGAGAACGUCUCAUCUCCUUCGCCGGGGGCAGCGGGAGAUGCUGGCGGAAUGGCAGAGGGAGCUGUACUGGGAUGUGCUGGUGCAGAGCUACGAGACGCUGGUGUCGCUGGGUUGUGAUGCACCGAAACCCAAGAUCCUGCUGCUGAUGGAAGAAAAAGGAAAGCCGUAUGCAGAGUACGCUGCUGAUCGAGAUGGCAGAGAUCUUGAUUGUGCGUCUGCAGCGGCCGAACGCCUUCGCAGGAGCAGAAAGCUGAAGCUAGAGGACCACGAACUUGAGAUCCGAGUCCGUGAGAAUCGGUAUCUCUCAGCAAAGGAUCGGCGUCUUUGGCGGGGCUCGGGGCGCCGCGCCGUGUGUUUAGAGGCUCGGGUGCACUCAGCCUCUCAUCCUGCCCUCGGAGAGGCUCAUGGUGAUGAGCCUGCUGCUGUCGGCAAGUGCCAGACCAAGCCCUGCGGAGAAAUGGAGGUGCCCGUCGACUCUUCUCCUCCACGCGACGGUAGUUUACGGCGGCAGGUACAGGUGAACUGCUACCUGUGCCCCGUGAAGGAGGAAGCUGAGGACGGCGGCUAUGGAGCGGGCCCCGGGGACUCCAAGGAAGAGCCGGAGUCUCCGCUGGGCUCUGAAGGCUGCUGCCCGCGGCUGGGUGCCGCCGGCAGCCCGCGGAGCCGUGGCGGAGCGGGUCUGUGCCGGGCUGACGAGGACCCGAGCGC